GACCGUCGCCGCCGACGGCGGGGACCGGCCGGCGGUCCCAGCGGGCUCAAGCCUGUCGGCUUCGCAGCGUCGGGCCGAGCUGCGGCGGAGAAAGCUGCUCAUGAACUCGGAACAGCGCAUCAACCGCAUCAUGGGCUUCCACAGGCCCGGGAGCGGCGCGGAAGAAGAAAGUCAAACAAAAUCAAAGCAGCAGCAGGACAGUGAUAAACUGAAUUCUCUCAGCGUUCCUUCAGUUUCAAAGCGAGUAGUGCUGGGUGAUUCGGUCAGUACAGGAACAACUGACCAGCAGGGUGGUGUGGCCGAGGUAAAGGGGUCCCCACUGGGAGACAAAUUGGACUCUUUGAUUAAACCACCUGAGUGCAGUAAUGAUGUCAAUCUUGAGCUCCGGCAGCGAAACAGAGGGGACCUGACAUCAGACACCGCCCAGAGGGGUUCCCGCCAUGGCCUAGAACAGUACCUUUCCAGAUUCGAAGAAGCAAUGAAGUUAAGGAAACAGCUGAUUAGUGAAAAACCCAAUCAGGACGAUGGAAGUACAGCAGAAGAAUUUGACUCUUUUCGAAUAUUUAGAUUGAUGGGAUGUGCUCUUCUUGCUCUUGGAGUCAGAGCUUUCAUUUGCAAAUACCUGUCCAUAUUUGCUCCAUUUCUUACUUUACAACUUGCGUACAUGAGACUAUACAAAUAUUUUCCCAAGGUGAAAAGAGAUAAAGACACAGUACUACAGCUGCACUUCUGUUAUCUGGAAUUCCUG